CACAAGCUGCGUUGUUCGUAUUCAUAAGUAAGUUUUAACCUUUAAGCUGUAAUAGGGAGUUUAACAUUGAAACAGGAAUGACAAGUCUCCAUCUAUAUGAUUUGGAGGACAGGCAGGAAUGUUUCUGCGGACACCUACUUUGAGGAGUGGUGGUUUAAAACUUUCUUACACUAAGUACGGCAAAGGCGGCGCUACA
rnacentral:other from 1 species